GAUUACCACUUGCGGGUGUGCUUAUGCAUGCAAGUCGAACGGUCUUGAUUUAUCAAGGAUAGUGGCGAACGGGUGAGUAACGCGUAAGUAACCUGCCCUCAAGUAGGGGAUAACUCUGAGAAAUUAGAGCUAAUACCGUAUGUGGUGGUAGGGGUAAUGCCCUAUUACUAAAGCCUUAGGGCGCUUGGGGAGGGGCUUGUGUCCGAUUAGCUAGUUGGUAGGGUAACGGCUUACCAAGGCGAUGAUCGGUAGCUGGUUUGAGAGGACGGCCAGCCACACUGGGACUGAGACACGGCCCAGACUCCUACGGGAGGCAGCAGCAAGGAAUAUUGUGCAAUGGGCGAAAGCCUGACACAGCGACACCGCGUGGGGGAUGAAGGCCUUCGGGUUGUAAACCCCUUUUCUCAGGGAAGAAUAAUGACGGUACCUGAGGAAUAAGUCGUGGCUAACUACGUGCCAGCAGCCGCGGUAAUACGUAGGCGGCAAGCGUUAUCCGGAUUUAUUGGGCGUAAAGAGGGCGUAGGCGGUUUUUCAAGUCGAUUGUAAAAUCUCCCGGCUUAACUGGGAGGGGCCAGUCGAUACUGUUAGACUAGAGGGCAGCAGGGGGAGGUGGAAUUCCCGGUGUAGUGGUGAAAUGUGUAGAUAUCGGGAGGAACACCAGUGGCGAAGGCGGCCUCCUAGGCUGUUUCUAACGCUGAGGUCCGAAAGCGUGGGGAGCAAACAGGAUCAGAUACCCUGGUAGUCCACGCUGUAAUCGAUGGACACUAGGUAUAGGGAGUAUCGACCCUCUCUGUGCCGAAGCUAACGCCAUAAGUGUCCCGCCUGGGGACUACGGCCGCAGGGCUAAAACUCAAAGAAUUGAACG
rnacentral:rRNA from 1 species